rnacentral:rRNA from 1 species
UACGUAGGUGGCAAGCGUUGUCCGGAAUUAUUGGGCGUAAAGCGCGCGCAGGCGGUCCUUUAAGUCUGAUGUGAAAGCCCACGGCUCAACCGUGGAAGGUCAUUGGAAACUGGGGGACUUGAGUACAGAAGAGGAAAGCGGAAUUCCAGGUGUAGCGGUGAAAUGCGUAGAUAUCUGGAGGAACACCGGUGGCGAAGGCGGCAUCCUGGACCAACACUGACGCUGAGUGAGCGAAAGCCAGGGGAGCAAACGGG